rnacentral:rRNA from 1 species
CCAAUAGCGUAUAUUAAAGUUGUUGCAGUUAAAAAGCUCGUAGUUGAAUUUUGGGUCUGGCCGGGCGGUCCGCCCUCUGGGUGAGCACUGUUCCGACGUCGGGCCUAUCCUUCUGGUGAGUCGGCAUGUCCUUUAUUGGGUGUGUCGGGGAACCAGGACCAUUACCUUGAAAAAAUUAGAGUGUUCAAAGCAGGCGUAUGCUCGGAUACAUUAGCAUGGAAUAAUGAAAUAGGACGCGUGGUGCUAUUUUGUUGGUUUCUAGAACCGCCGUAAUGAUUAAUAGGGAUAGUUGGGGGCAUUAGUAUUCAAUUGUCGGAGGUGAAGUUCUUGGAUUUAUUGAAGACUAACUUCUGCGAAAGCAUUUGCCAAGGAUGUUUUCAUUAAUCAAGAACGAAAGUUAGGGGAUCGAAGACGAUCAGAUACCGUCGUAGUCUUAACCAUAAACUAUGCCGACUAGGAAUCGGGCGAUGUUAUUCUCAUGACUCGCCCGGCGCCUUAUG